AUUGAACGCUGGCGGCAGGCCUAACACAUGCAAGUCGAGCGGCAGCGGGAAGUAGCUUGCUACUUUGCCGGCGAGCGGCGGACGGGUGAGUGAUGCCUGGGGAUCUGCCCAAUCGAGGGGGAUAACUACUGGAAACGGUAGCUAAUACCGCAUACGCCCUACGGGGGAAAGCAGGGGACCUCUUGGCCUUGCGCGAUUGGAUGAACCCAGGUGGGAUUAGCUUGUUGGUGAGGUAACGGCUCACCAAGGCGACGAUCCCUAGCUGGUCUGAGAGGAUGGAAAGCCAAACUGGGACUGGGACACGGUCCAGACUACUACGGGAGGCAGCAGUGGGGAAUAGUGCACAGUGGGGGAAACCCUGAUGCAGCCAUGCCGCGUGUGUGAAGAAGGCCUUCGGGUUGUAAAGCACUUUCGGCGAGGAGGAAGGGGAGUGAGCUAAUAUCUCAUUUCAUUGACGUUACUCGCAGAAGAAGCACCGGCUAACUCCGUGCCAGCCGCCGCCGUAACAC
rnacentral:rRNA from 1 species